ensembl:snRNA
GUAUUGUGUAAAAGGAGAGAAGAUUAGCAUUCCCCUUGACAAAAGGAAUAGAAAAUCAAAAACUUAU